rnacentral:rRNA from 1 species
CCUACGGGUGGCUGCAGUGGGGAAUAUUGGACAAUGGGCGAAAGCCUGAUCCAGCCAUGCCGCGUGUGUGAAGAAGGCCUUCGGGUUGUAAAGCACUUUCAGUGGGGAAGAAAGCCUUGGGGCUAAUACCCUCGAGGAAGGACAUCACCCACAGAAGAAGCACCGGCUAACUCCGUGCCAGCAGCCGCGGUAAUACGGAGGGUGCGAGCGUUAAUCGGAAUUACUGGGCGUAAAGCGCGCGUAGGCGGUCUGAUAAGCCGGUUGUGAAAGCCCGGGGCUCAACCUGGGAACGGCAUCCGGAACUGUCAGGCUAGAGUGCAGGAGAGGAAGGUAGAAUUCCCGGUGUAGCGGUGAAAUGCGUAGAGAUCGGGAGGAAUACCAGUGGCGAAGGCGGCCUUCUGGACUGACACUGACGCUGAGGUGCGAAAGCGUGGGUAGCAAACAGGAUUAGAUACCCCUGUAGUC